AAGGUCGAGCAGGACCUUCCUUCCCUGAGUCCUACUCACAGCACCUCUGCGUCCCCGGGGCCCCUGAGACCACCACCUUCCCUGGGGGUGCGGAGCGGCAGGACUCCGGGCGGCGCAGGUAACGGCAUUCCAGCCAGUGGGAACAGCCGGGAUGAGGGCAUGAGCACAUCUGGGAGUCCACAGUCCCCAGAAGACUGAGGAGGUCGGAGGAGCUGAACCAGGCAGGGGACAGCUACAACAGAUACCACUGCAGCCUCAAUCAAGGAAGCAGUUUCUGGAAAGCGGCACCAUCUGGCUGGACUCCAACCCACAUCUUCUGGAAGAGCAGCCAGUGUUCCUGACCACUGAACCAUCUCUCCAGCUCCACACACAACAUUUCUAUAGUUCAGCUGGCUUUGAGUUUGUGGUAAGCCCCCUGCUUUAUCCUCCUGAGGGUUAGGAUGAUAAGCAUCCCAGCUGAAUAAUAUAAUUUGUAAUAAAAAAUUAUUGUGGGUUAUUACACAGUUAUGUCUCUGUUUUUUACAGCCAAUAGUGCUAAAGUGUAGAUAAACUACAAGACAAAUGGUAGCGAGGGCAAUAGUUAGCAUGAAGGUUUCCCUGGGAGAUUUUUCUAGAAGCUAUUUGGAUUGUUACUCAAAACUUCAAGAAAAUAUCACAAUAUUCAUCCUCCUUAGAGCCAUGGGUGAAUAGGGUUUAGCAACUAGAGAGACUUAAUUAAAUGAAUUAUCAACUCAGUUCACUUGUAUGGGAAACCAGAAUGGCUUCUUUCUUAUCUCUAGGAAAUGACUUCAAAGGCUUGAAAGAUGCACUUAUUUUUUCUUGAGUUAAGAAUCAGUUUUGUUUCUUAUACUGUAGCUUCUGCAUCUGGCUAUUUGAUAUGAUCCAGAUUUCAAUUGCUAACAAACUGAAAGAUACUGUUAAAUUAACUUAGAUAUACUGCCUUUUGUAAUGUAGAGAAAUAUUUUCUGCGAAGGUAACCCUUAAGUCAUGUCUAAGAAUGUUGUUUACUUUAUGAUCAACAUCACAGAAUCUUACAAUUCAAAUGGAAAAGCCAGCGUUCCCAGUAUCUCCCCACACCAGCUAGAACAGCUGGACAACAAUAUAGUGAUGUAGGCAUGCUGCAGUUGUUAAACAGACCAGAGAACAUCGCUAAACUUAGUGGCUAUCACCACUUACAACAAAAAUUUCCUUACACUUGUCUCCAAAUGUCCAAAUCAAAACUAUGACCAAACUCAAGCUAACCACUCAUUUCCAGCAGCAGUGAUGAAAGUCUGAAGUCUAUUCAUUCAUUCUUUGGCCCACAUGUCUGAUGAAUCUCACGAUGCCCGAGAUUAGUAGGGUUCACAUCUUACUUCCCAUCAGGGAUGCUAUUUGAAGCAGGGUGUGGUGCAGCAUGUCCAUAAUCUCUCCACUGGGGAGCUUGACAGUUUAACAACUACUAAGCUAGACUGCUCAGGAAGGGUUUCAUCUCAGAGGUGACACUUCUCUCUUGUCUUUAGACUUUUAACUCUGUCUUAGAUAUCUACGAAAAAUAUCCUUGGGGAAUAAAAGCUACACAAAGUUCAAGUCUUCUAAUUCCACUAUGGAAGCCCAAUGUGCAAUCUACUAAUCAUUUGAAUUUCAUUUGACGAUUCAAUGGAAAAACCAAUUUAUAUUUCAUUAUGAAUUAUUUUACUUUGGUAAGGAUAGAAACAAAAAACCCCCAAGAUUCUGACAUAUUUGCACAUACAUACUCCUUACAGGGGUAAACAGAUAUUUGGGAUGCAUUAUAAUAUUACGAGUGUAUUUUAUUGCUACAACAAUCACAAAUAAAACACCAACGCUGUGAUCAAAAGCCACAGUAACAGGGUUGCAGGUAGAUUUAACACACAUUGCUAUUUGAGCGUCCUCUACUUGGUUUUCUCUACAACAGCCCUCCUAGUGGACAUCCAGUCUAUGCAUGAACAUUCCUCCCUCUACCUGACCAGGUUUCUGGUUUUACUGGCAGAUAGUUAGUGGUGCAUGGGGAAGGUGAAGCUUGAAUUUAGAAGGGAUCCAGCCCAGAACCAAAUGAGGAUUAAAACAAAGCAUCGCAAGGAUACAUCUUGAAAAGUUUCAAGUGUCACUGGAAAGCCUCAGCGCUUUCCAUGUCAGCCAAUGAUACAUGUACACAAGUACAAAGCAGAAACAACCAUUCCCUGUGCCAACAGCACAGGCUCUCUUUGGUUUUGAGACUGAAUCUUGCUUUGUAGCUGUCUUAGUCCCCUUAGUGCUCAGAUUACAGGGGUGGGUCACCACACUCAGCUGGGACUAGGAUUCUGGAUAAGAAGCAAGAUUAAAACUGUAGUGUAUCUUCCCUGUACAUCUCUGGCAGCUACAGCUAAAGUUACAGACUGGCUUGAGUUGACCACGGCAAUUAGCAAGUCUGGGUAAAACCAAACAGACACAUUCCUCAGCGAUAAUACAACAGCCUGCCAGUCACACAACAAAUUUAAAGACCAUAAAAUUUAUCCCUGUCAUCUAACAUUUUUCAAUUUCUAUAGGUAGAAUUAAGUUACUCCUUUAAAAUCUGGGAAACACCCCUCAGGCAUUCCGCUUAGGUUUGAAAGGAAACCUAAAAACAACUUUGGUUUAACAACCUGAUACUUGCAUUUGAAAAUGCUACCAGUUGUCCCAGGGUAAUAGCUGGCAGGGCUGGUUGACAAGGGCAGGGCAGGGUCUGACCUAGCUGCAGUAUGUGCGCACACAUGUUCUUUGUAGUAUGCUGAGCUACAUACACCACCUCCCCGGGAAAUGGCAAGUUACCUGUUUAGCAGCUCAGGGGAAAACAUGUUUAAACAUGAGUUAAACUGUGAACAUUCACAUAUGCACCCAGUUCUCAUAUUUUAACAGUUUUCAGAUUUCUCUGCUGGGGUAUAUACCAUGGUCACAUUCUACCUACAUUCAUAUGAACCUUUUAAGAUAACAUUUCAUGGAAUUAAAUAACCUUACCAUCCAGAACUUUGUAUUAAUGAGUUAUUCACAUCUUAAAGCUGAAAAUAGGAGCAGCAUAUUUAUUUAUUUAUUUAUUUAUUUAUUUAUUUAUUUAUUUAUUUAUUUAUUUAUUUUGAGGCCAGGUUUAUUAUGUGUAGUCCUGGCUAUCCUGGAACUCACUGUAGACUAGGGUGGCACUGAACUCAGAGACACACCUUUCUCAGUCUCCUGAGUGCUGGAACUAAAGGUGUGUGCCACCACACCUGGCUUAUUUUAUUAUUUUUAUUAAAAAUUAAAACUGUUUCUCCAGCUCACAGUAGUGCAUCUGAAAAGAUAGGGCUUUCUAGGUCUAACACUUGAAUAUACAGCUCAACUCUUUUCAUUUUUAUGAUACAGGACUUCACUGUGCAGUCCAGGUCAGCUUCCUCCUCGCGGUUUGCCUGCCUCAGCCUUUGAAGUAACGGGAUUAGAAGUCUGCGCCCAUACUUUUUAAUAUCCCACAUAUAAAAGUUGUUUUAGAUGACAUGUCCCCACUAUUACCACAGCUACCUAACAAGGAAACACAUGACUGUCAGUCAAAAAUUAUAACAAGCAACUUAACAGUUGUUUCAAGUUUUCCUUCUGUGCAAACCACAGCCUUACUUUUCAUUUAUUUUUAUUAUUUUCAUUUGGCGAAUGAUUGUUGUACUUCCCAACAUGAUAUAGUGAUUCCCAAAACGACAGAAUAAUUAAAUAAAAAUGCAAAAUAAAUGUCUAAAUUGAACUAUUCAAAGUCCAGUCAACCAAAGAGGCUGUAUGCUAAAACUAAUCAAGCCAUAACAAACUAAAUUAGACAAGUGAUAAAAACUGGAAAUAUUCAUUUGGUUUUGGCCAGUUGCCUAUAUAUUUAUGAAUGUGCCUUUUCUCUCUUUCACGUGGUUUAGGGCCCAAAGAAAGUAACUCCCAGGCUUUACAUUGGCUGUAACAGUAGCAAAUUCAGGUAUAAAACAUAUUCAGCCAAUAGCUGCUGUGUGGAGACCCACAAGAGGUUUCCUAGUGAGAACUUACUCAGGGGUCAGAAGAUCUGGGAUUGCUUUACCCAGCAGGGCUGCAUGAGGAGAUGAUUUGGCCACGGGUAUGUUUACCAGGUGUUUGGAAGUGUGGUGUGCUUUGAUCUAGCAAGGGGGAGGUCUUUGCUCCUCUUCUUGGCAUGUUAUAAAAAGCCCUUUUCAAUAAAGGACGAGGCUGUUGGGUAUUGAUCCAGGCCUGCCUGCCCCCCCCCACCUUCCCCCACAGCUAUCCUGUGUUUCUGUCUUCUCAUCGUCUAGGUCUCUCUUUCUGAUAUUUCUUCAUUCCUCUCUCCUCCACCUAGGAACCCUUCAAAAAGUGGGAGCUGGACCCCCACACUGCUGGACACUCCCAACUGACUACCCUUGUACAGUUUUGUUUCUGAUGUCUUCUGACAUGCCUUCUUUUUAUAAAGGAACUAAAAAGAUGACAAAUAUUUUCAGAAUGUCAAACUCGCUUUAUUAGUGAUUAUCUUCCAUCUCUACUUGAGUACCUUUAAAUGACCUUAAGAGGAGUUCUCCAACUCAAAAAAUAUACAAAAAUUAUUUCAUACACAUUUUUAUAUCCUUGAAGUUAGGGUAAAUUGGGAUGUUUAACACUACUUUCCAGAAUAAUACCUGAAAGAGAUGACACCUUAGACAUGUUUAGUUACAUAGCAGAAUUCAUGUUUAAAGACCAAACUUAAGCCUGUCCUGUUACUCAGUGCCUGUUAGUUUAUGUAUAGGUAAAUUCUUCUACUGCUCACCAGGAGAAAGUUCCUAAGAUAUUAUCAUACUAGGGCUCAAUUUAAAAAAUACUACUUUAUUAUACUACUACUUUUUGUAAAUUUAAACUAAGAGAGGCUGCUACUUCAGGGCAGGACUCUUGCCUCCUCAUCUGUUUAACACCUUUACCUAGGCUCUUUAUUCACACUGUCAUAUUACCCUGAGACCAGCACUGUGAGGUUGCUGAUCUAAGUGUGAACUGCUAAGAUCUGAUGUUGUGAACACACAGAUUUUAAGAUGUCAUACAUAACAACUCAAAAGUUAACUCCAUCUCUUUCCUUUCCACAGGUGCCAUGCCAUCCAGACUGAGGAAGAUCCAGCAACUCUGUGGCUACGUGAGCCAGGGCCAUAGCCAAUAAGCAGGCAUCACAAGCACCCAGAAGGCCAAGGUAAUGAUGGAUGCAUGUGUCACCACAGGAUCAGCUUAGACAAAUGACAUCAUGUGACUUUGGUAAAGUUGGUCAGUGGUCUUACCACUUAAAGAGGAACCAGAGCUUAUGUCCACCUGCCACCCGUGGUAAACUGUGGAUCUUGUCAGUAAACAGACAUGAGUAAACGCUGCCCCCGUCACCAGUGUGGUAUGGAGUUCUGGGGAAGGAAAAGUCACCUAAGCAGCCCUCACUGUGAAGCCCAAAGUCUUCAGAAUAGCCAAAGAGAAGAUGAACUAAAUUGGUCACUUGUGUCCUGGUGGCUUUAAGCCACACAGGGAGCAAACAAACAACCAAGAGAGAUAACUCUAAUUCUAGGAGUCUAUCCUAAAACUAAUUAGAAAUACGAACACUUUUGAAAAUAUAUUUAUAUUGAUGCUGUUUAAAACAAUCAUCAGAAACAAUUAAAUAUUUAAACUAUGACAUACAAAUGACAGAACACCAUUUCAUUGAAAGUAUUUCUAAAUAGUAGCCAGGCAGUGGUGGUGCACACCUUUAAUCCCAGCACUUGGGAGGCAGUUAGGUGGAUCUCUGAGUACAAGGCCAGCCUGGUCUAUAGAGUUAGUUCCAGGACAGCCAGGGCUACAUAGAGAAACUGUCUUAACCCCUCUUCUCGUGAAAAAAAGUUUCCAGACACUUAUUAAUGAUAUGAAUGGGGGUUACUGUAUCAUGUCAAUGAGAAAAGACUCUUAAGUUAUAUGACUAUGAGUUAACUAUUGUUUAAAAAAAAAUACCAAAGAAAAACAGUAAAUAAAACGUCUUUUCUAGUUAAAAUUGAGAAAUUAUGUUCUUCUUUUAAUAUUUUUCUGAAUUUUUAUAGAUGUGUGGUAACAAAUUAUCUGUAUAACCAGAAAACAGCAAGAACUGCUUUACCAGUCUCUCCCACAUAAAUAAAACACUAAUCCUUAUAAUUAGAAAUCACUGCACAGUAGGUAAAAGUACC